rnacentral:rRNA from 1 species
ACACUCCUACGGGAGGCAGCAGUGGGGAAUAUUGCACAAUGGGCGCAAGCCUGAUGCAGCCAUGCCGCGUGUAUGAAGAAGGCCUUCGGGUUGUAAAGUACUUUCAGCGGGGAGGAAGGCGAUAAGGUUAAUAACCUUGUUGAUUGACGUUACCCGCAGAAGAAGCACCGGCUAACUCCGUGCCAGCAGCCGCGGUAAUACGGAGGGUGCAAGCGUUAAUCGGAAUUACUGGGCGUAAAGCGCACGCAGGCGGUCUGUCAAGUCGGAUGUGAAAUCCCCGGGCUCAACCUGGGAACUGCAUUCGAAACUGGCAGGCUAGAGUCUUGUAGAGGGGGGUAGAAUUCCAGGUGUAGCGGUGAAAUGCGUAGAGAUCUGGAGGAAUACCGGUGGCGAAGGCGGCCCCCUGGACAAAGACUGACGCUCAGGUGCGAAAGCGUGGGGAGCAAACAGGAUUAGAUACCCGGGUAGUCCCAUG